GACGAACGCUGGCGGCGUGCCUAAUACAUGCAAGUCGAGCGGAUGGAAGGAAGCUUGCUUCCUAAAGUCAGCGGCGGACGGGUGAGUAACACGUGGGCAACCUGCCCCUAAGAUCGGGAUAACUUCGGGAAACCGGAGCUAAUACCGGAUAUGAUUAUGUCCCACAGGAGACAUAAUGGAAAGACGGUUUCGGACGUCCCUUAGGGAAGGGCCCGCGGCGCAUUAGCUCGUUGGUGAGGUAAUGGCUCAACAAGGCGACGAUGCGUUGCCGACCUGAGAGGGUGAUCGGCCAGACUGGGACUGAGACACGGCCCAGACUCCUACGGGAGGCAGCAGUAGGGAAUCUUCCGCAAUGGACGAAAGUCUGACGGAGCAACGCCGCGUGAGUGAAGAAGGUUUUCGGAUCGUAAAACUCUGUUGUUAGGGAAGAACAAGUACCAUAGUAACUGAUGGUACCCUGACGGUACCUAACCAGAAAGCCACGGCUAACUACGUGCCAGCCGCCGCAGUAAUAC
rnacentral:rRNA from 1 species